rnacentral:lncRNA from 1 species
AGCUCCAGGUGGAAAGCAGGUGUGGCCUCCGCCCAUAUCACAUGCAUUUGUGAUAGAGGUGCUAGAAGGCUUUCAUUUGUUUUUUUCAUUUUUCAUUGUUUUUUUCAUUUGUUUUUGCUCCUUAGUGGAUUUUGUGUCAGCAGCAUGUGGGAUUUCCUUUGGUCACUUAACAUCAUCUUAUCAUCUGGACACCAGCACUCAGAACAGCACGGCAGCUCUACUUCAUGGCUUCUACUUCAUGGCUGCAGGACUGCCAGCUGAAAAUUCAUCUGAAAUGUGACUACAGCAGUGCAAAUGCUCAGCUUGGCUCCUCAUGUGCAAAAGGGAAGGGGAAAAGCGGUUGACCUAAACUCACAUUAAGACUUGCCCUGCAGUUGCACGUAGAGAGCUAAAAUAGCUCCCGUUGUUGUCUUACAAUGGUUGUGUGGUUCAACAACAGAUGGAUUUCCAUACAGCCAUAGAGCUGAGGGAGGUGUGGGUUGUGCAACAGUGCAGUUAUUUAUCCUACAUUUGCUCUUGCAUGUAGAGGGUAUUUCAAAUUAUUCCAAAUUACUAACAGAUACCAAAGAAGCAAUACUGUGGUGAGGUACAAAACCAGUUCAAGGGGUAAAGGCUUUGCCAGGCAACUGGGUAAUUUGAGUUAUUGCCUGCCUGCUUGGGAGCCUGAAGGAGCAACGCACAGUCUAAGUCAGUGUAAAGUAAAGCAUAAUUUAAUGUGAAAUCAAGGGCUUGAAACUGCACUUUCUGCACAGAAUUAAUAACUGCGGGUGUAGCUUUUUAUCUGGGGAAGAAUAAUAUAAUUUGCUUUGUUCCCAAUCCUAAAUAUGUUAAUAAUGUGAUUUUUUUGCAUUAGCAUGUAAAAAUGUCAGGGAAUAAUUUGCAAGUAAUAUGUAAUGGAUGGUCCUGAGCUUUUAAAUUGCUUGAGGCUAGAACGUCAUUGUAUUUUUAUAAAAGAGGUUGGUAGCUAGGGAAAAAGGAGAUUCAUUAGGUUAGGAAAUAUAUCUCCAGAUAAACUAAAUUGUGUUUAACUUGGCCACUUGAAUACCAGUAACAUUUGAAAAACAAAAGACAGCAGUAACAAAUAGAUUAUUUAUGCACAUCUAUUUGGUGGAAAAGAGAGAAGAAGAGAGUUUGGGGUUUGUUUUUCAUUUGCAAUGCUUGCAAGCUCAGUGAAAACUAAAAUGAGAUAUGAUAUUCUAAGAGAUCCGGUGUACUGUUUUAACUUGUGAAAUCUUUAUUGAAGGUGAAUAGACAGAAAAUGCACAUCAAAAUACACAGUUUCCCAGAGAAACAUGCCAUGACAUGA